rnacentral:lncRNA from 1 species
CGCGCCGCGGCCCGCCCGUCCCCGGGGUUCUCUCCGUGCCCGGCGGGGCUGGGCCUACGGGCCGCCCCCUGCCCGCCCCGGGGCUCCUCCCCGCCGGCAGGGCCGCGGCAGCGCCGGUCCCCGCUUUGUCACUGAAGCACAAAGGUUCUCGGCGGCCCGGGGAGGCGGCGGCUCCCUCCGCCCCUGAGGCGGGGAGCGGGGCCGGGGCCGGGGUUUGUGGGGCUUUCAGUCAGCGAAGCUGCACGUGUGGGUGCUCUUAGCAUCGCCCCGCGGGGCCUUUCCCGAAGUGUCGAGCCAGAAUGCAGCAUCCCCGCGUCUGUCAAUGGCAGUGACGCCGGGGUAGGACCACCGCAGCGUCGCGCACAGCGCUGCUCCCCAGGACCGCGGUGGG